rnacentral:tRNA from 2 species
GCCCGGCUAGCUCAGUCGGUAGAGCAUGAGACUCUUAAUUUCAGGGUCGUGGGUUCGAGCCCCAUGUUGGGCG